CCGGUGCGACGCGCGGCCGCGUAAUAUCAUGCCGAAAGGUUUUAUUAUGAGGAAAGUCCGGGCUUCAUAGGGCAGGAUAACGGAUAACGUCCGCCGACAGCUUUCCCCAAGGAUCGCUGUCCGGGAGAGUGCAACAGAGAUAUACCGCUGCGGUCCUCCGCAGUAAGGGUGGAAAGGCGAGGUAAGAGCUCACCGGCUUUGCAGGUAACUGUGAAGCCCUGUAAACCCUAUCCGAAGCAACACCGUAUGCAGGCUUGCUUGCCCGGCUCAUGCCUGCGGGUGGCACGGGAGAGAUCCCGGAGCUGUACGGUAACGUACAGCAAAGAUAGAUGGUCGCGGGAGAGACGAAAGUCUUUUUACAGAACCCGGCUUACAGUUGCACCGGCAUU
rnacentral:RNase_P_RNA from 1 species